AGUGAACGCUGGCGGUAGGCCUAACACAUGCAAGUCGAACGGCAGCACAGUAAGAGCUUGCUCUUACGGGUGGCGAGUGGCGGACGGGUGAGGAAUAGAUCGGAAUCUACUUUUUCGUGGGGGAUAACGUAGGGAAACUUACGCUAAUACCGCAUACGACCUACGGGGGAAAGCAGGGGAUCUUCGGACCUUGCGCGAUUGAAUGAGCCGAUGUCGGAUUAGCUAGUUGGCGGGGUAAAGGCCCACCAAGGCGACGAUCCGUAGCUGGUCUGAGAGGAUGAUCAGCCACACUGGAACUGAGACACGGUCCAGACUCCUACGGGAGGCAGCAGUGGGGAAUAUUGGACAAUGGGCGCAAGCCUGAUCCAGCCAUACCGCGUGGGUGAAGAAGGCCUUCGGGUUGUAAAGCCCUUUUGUUGGGAAAGAAAAGCAGCAGGUUAAUACCCCGCUGUUCUGACGGUACCCAAAGAAUAAGCACCGGCUAACUUCGUG
rnacentral:rRNA from 1 species